rnacentral:lncRNA from 1 species
AGUCUUUAACUGAAGGGCACUGACUGGGUCACUGGUGAAGUUCCCCGCAGGAACUGAGUCAGACCCCAUCUCAGGGCCCUGCACAAGAUAGGUGCCUGCUCUAAGGCGUGGACCCUCGCCACAGCCCUGGCCCGUCUUGACGGGCGAGGGUUACUGUACUUGUCCCAACCGUACAGAUGAGAAAGCUGAGACUCAGGGCCAGCAACCCGGGUCCCAGCGGAGCGCCCGGCACACGCCGACACUUCAGCACCAGUGGCGGUGGCCACCACUGUGGGCGGAGAUGGCUGCGACGCGUGCGCAGGUAAAGUCUAUGCGCGCCUUGCCUCCCACCGGCGCCUUCCCCGGCCUCUGGUUUUUGUCCCCGCCAGCGGCUCCGACUCCAUCGCGUCCUCUUCCAGUCUAGUGCUUUUUUCCAGAUCUCGAUCCCAAACUCCCUCCUGCCAGAAUCUGGACCCGAAUCCACCCAUUGCCCGUUUUCCGCUGCCGCUGGAGAGAAUCUCUGAGGUCCCCAGGAGAGCCUGCCUGCACGGAAGAGACGCCUCCUCGGUAUGGCCGCCCCCGGAGAGGAGCGAUUAAGUGCAGACCUCCUUGUUGCUCUUGAGCCUGAGCGGCUUCAGGGAGCCAUGUUUGUUACUGGCGGGCGCCGACCUCACUGAGCAUGUGCAGCCCUGGCCGGGCGGCCUCAAAGUUCUGACAUCACAGGGCGGUUCCUGAAGUGGACGUAGUUAUUAAAUGCUGUUUUCCAUGACCGUCUCUGUUCUUCCCAUACGGGAAUGGCAGGCAUUCAGAUCUCCAAGAAUAGAGGAUUAGGAGAGACUCCACCACCUAUGUCCUCACAGUUAAUUAUCGAUUUGUGUCAGUUGCCCAUUUUCUCACUUCCUGUUUGUGUGUCAAGGGGUAUUAAUAAAUCUUUGCCUAUUUAAAGAUA